UGAAUAUUUUUCGGGAGCUUGUAUUUCAGGCUGAGAGGAAGUAAUUGAACUUCGACCGUACCUGAUUUGGAUAAUGCCAACGUAGGAAAUGUGAUUAGAUUUUUA
rnacentral:ncRNA from 2 species